AACUUUUAGCAACGGAUCUCUCGGCUCUAGCAUCGAUGAAGAACGCAGCGAAAUGCGAUAAGUAAUGUGAAUUGCAGAAUUUAGUGAAUCAUCGAAUCUUUGAACGCACAUUGCGCCCCCUGGCAUUCCGGGGGGCAUGCCUGUCCGAGCGUCAUUAUCCCCCUCAAGCCUCGCUUGGUCUUGGGCCACGCCGCCUGGCGGACCCUAAAUCUAGUGGCGAUCCCCGCCGGCCCUCAGUGUAGUAGCAACCAUCGCUGUCGGCGUCGCGCGGGAGAUCUGCCAGGAACCCCCAACAUUUCUAGGUUGACCUCGGAUCAGGUAGGACUACCCGCUGAACUUAAGCAUAUCAAUAAGCGGAGGCU
rnacentral:misc_RNA from 1 species